AGGAAGGAAGGAUGGAAGGAAGGAAGGAAAAAAAAAGGAUGUAAGGGAGUCAACCGAAAGAAAAAGAAAAAAAAAGCCUUGCCGGAUGGGUGGUGGUGGCGCUGGUGGUGGUGGCAUGUGCUGCGUGGUAGGCCCCUCAAGGCACAAACCAAGCUGCUAUUCUUUUGUGUUCUGUGUGAGAGAGAGAGAGAGAGAGAGAGAGAGAGAGAGAGAGAGAGAAUGUCAUGUUAGUAUAGAUCAAGUUUCAAUGAGACUAAUGAUAGGUGCUUGGGUUCACAGACAGACAGGAAGGGAAGGUUCAGUGUUAAGACAGACAGACAGGAAGGGAAGGUUCAGUGUUAAGACAGACAGACAGGAAGGGAAGGUUCAGUGUUAAGACAGACAGACAGGAAGGGAAGGUUCAGUGUUAAGACAGACAGACAGGAAGGGAAGGUUCAGUGUUAAGACAGACAGACAGGAAGGGAAGGUUCAGUGUUAAGACAGACAGACAGGAAGGGAAGGUUCAGUGUUAAGACAGACAGACA